UUUGCCUGUCUUCUUGAAUUUUUCAAGUCUGACCGAAAAUAGCCUUUUGCUUUUUUCUUGACUUUGUCAAUCAUUUUGCCUGUCUUCAUUUUCAGCAUAACCAUCCCCACUCAUGUAAGGCACCGUCUGAGUAGUCAAUCCAAGCCUUUGUGCGACUGUCAAGAGGCAAAUUGUGGUUAAGGAAUGCCAUUGCUGGUGUUGUGACGACGCCGGCACGUCUUAAAGGUGCACCGUAUUGUCGACAUCCUGACAAAGACUGCAACCCUCACACCACUCCCCAAAUGCUACUCCCACUGUUGCACGCAACCUUGUCAAGAGGACAUACUUGAAGACCCAUCGAUGCACCACUCCGUUUGUCUGCACGAUGGCAGCAACACUUUUCAACAUGCCCUAGCUCGAAAUAAAAAAGAAAUUAUUCUUUUACUCGAAGAAAAGUUAGCAAAAGCACAUAUAAUACAAUUUCAGGCUAUAAAGUAAUGUAUCUAAGCAAGACAACUCCCUGCGUGGCUUCUUGGUUAUGCGAAGGUACACAGAUUUGUUGACAGUGUUUUACUGUCUGAGCAACAUUACAUGUCAUUGUGGCACCAUUUUCAGAGUCAAAUUAAAUACAUAGUUUCUUGCUUAUUGAAUACAA
rnacentral:lncRNA from 1 species